UGGCCUGCCUGGGGACAGUGAGGCUGAGAUGCGUGCGCAUUCACGAGACAUCUCCAUUUUUUUCUUUCAGUCUUUGAAUGAAUACAAUGUUGUCCGGUUGAAAUAUUAUCACUAUUUUAUGAGAAAAAUAGCAUAAAAAUUGAUUUUAAACAGCGUUUGACAUGCUUCUAAGUACGGUAAUGGAAUUUUUUGACAUUUUUUGUCACGAAAUGCGCUCGCGCGUUACCCUUCAGAUAGUGACCUGAACGCACAAACAAAACGGAGGUAUUUGGAUAUAACUAUGGAUUAUUUGGAACCAAAACAACAUUUCUUGUUGAAGUAGAAGUCCUGGGAGUGCAUUCUGACGAAGAACAGCAAAGGACCUGAGCUCUAGGACCAUGCCUCAGGACUACCUGGCCUGAUGACUCCUUGCUGUCCCCAGUCCACCUAUCCAUGCUGCUGCUUCAGUUCCAACUGUUCUGCCUGCGGCUAUGAAACCCUGACCUGUUCACUGGACAUGCUACUUGUCCCAGACUUGCUGUUUUCAACUCUCUAGAGACAGCAGGAGCGGAAGAGAUACUCUGAAUGAUCGGCUAUGUAAAGCCAACUGACAUUUACUCCUGAGGCACUGACCUGUUGCACCCUCGACAUCCACUGUGAUUAUUAUUAUUUGACCCUGCUGGUCAUCUAUGAACAUUUGAACAUCUUGGCCAUGUUCUGUUAUAAUCUCCACCCGGCACCACCAGAAGAGGACUGGCCACCCCUCAUAGCCUGGUUCCUCUCUAGGAUUCUUCCUAGGUUCUGGCCUUUCUAGGGAGUUUUUCCUAGCCACCGUGCUUCUACACCUGCAUUGCUUGCUGUUUGGGGUUUUAGGCUGGGUUUCUGUACAUCACUUUGAGAUAUCAGUGGAUGUAAGAAAGGCUUUAUAAAUAUUUUUGAUUUGAUAUUCCUAUUUUGUAUGCUUAAGAUAAACUGUACAUACAGUAUACCACUAACAUGGUUUCCCAAAUGAUUAUGAUAUCGUUGGGCGUCCAUGUAUCUCAGAGCAGACUUUCAGAGGUACAUGGCCGGAUUGGUAUCCCAUAUCACACAUAAUUGUAUAAUGAUUAUUAUGAUCAUGGCUGCUCAUUGACUCAUUGAAAAUCUCCAAAGCCUGCCAAAAUGUUAUCAUUCAACUAAUAUAAUCACUAGCCCACAGUCAUGGAACAUCUUGGUUCUGGUUUCUGUUAGUUUCAGAGAUGACAUUAUUGGAUGGAGAUAUGAAUAAUGUAAUCCUGUUGCUUAAAAACAGGAUUCAUUUCUAAAUAUCAGAGUAUUUCAGUAUUUAGUGAUAAUGGGUUGAAAGUAAUUUGAUAAUUGAAACAAAGUAAUUUGCACCCUGUAAAUGGUUUCUCAUCACUCAGGGUGAGUCUUGGAGGCCCUUGAGCUAACUGACCUUGGAGGUUUAGAUGGGUGAAAUUAGUCACAAGGUUUUGAAGUAUAUGCAAGAGAGUUUUUCAGUACACAACAGUCUGCCAUAACACAGUUGACACCGCCAAUACAACAUAAACAAUGUGACAGGAAAUGCAUUGCAAUCCUAUGAACACUUUGAAUAAAUUCUGGCAAGAGAGAGAUGGAGAGAGGGGCGGGACAAUGCAAGGACAGAGAGAAGGUUCAG
rnacentral:lncRNA from 1 species